AUUGAACGCUGGCGGCAGGCCUAACACAUGCAAGUCGAACGAGUGGCGGACGGGUGAGUAAUGUCUGGGAAACUGCCCGAUGGAGGGGGGUAACUACUGGAAACGGUAGCUAAUACCGCAUACCAUCGGAUGUGCCCAGAUGGGAGUAGCACGGAGGGGGGGUAACGGCUCACCUCGGCGACGAUCCCUGGCUGGUCUGAGAGGAUGACCAGCCACACUGGAACUGAGCCACGGUCCAGACUCCUACGGGCGGCAGCAGUGGGGAAUAUUGCACAAUGGGCGCAAGCCUGAUGCAGCCAUGCCGCGUGUAUGAAGAAGGCCUGCGGGUUGUAAAGUACUUUCAGCGAGGAGGCGUUACUCGCAGAAGAAGCACCGGCUAACUCCGUGCCAGCAGCCGCGGUAAUUC
rnacentral:rRNA from 1 species